CAGGAGCACAGUUUGAGGAACUCUGCUCCAAUGCAUGUUUGAUUUAGAACAGUGGUUCUCAAACUUUGGUCCUCCAGGUGUUUUCAGGAUUUGCUCCUAGAACCCCUGACCAUUGGCCCUGCUGGCUGGAGCCCUUGGCAGUGAAAUCCAAAACACCUGGAGGACCAACAUUUAUGAAUAACUGCUAUAGAAUUACACUGCCAACUCAGGUAGCCAGAGCGGAACUAGAGACUGGGGCAUAACUUCAUCACCUCAAUUGAUUACUCCAUUGAGAAUUAUUUUAAUUAACCAGGGCAAAUCUGCAGAAAUGUGCCUAAAGUUAAGGGAUAGAACAAGGAUCUCCACCCAACUGAGUCAUGAGCUGCUCUUUCUGGCCUUGCUAAAUGGACCCCACACCUUUCCUUGGAAAUUUUUGUAGUUAUA
rnacentral:lncRNA from 11 species